rnacentral:lncRNA from 1 species
AUCUGGAAGGCAAGAGGAAUGUCUCAGGAAGACACUCAGUGAAGGCGAGAAGGUGUCUCCUUCAAGUGUAAAUCAAUUAUUUCACAGAGUCAAACCUGUGGUUAAUAAAGCCCACAUUUUUUAAUCAACCUUGAUGCUACCAUCAGACCAAGAAAAGACAGUGGUAAAAGAAAUGACUGCUGCCUCAAGAUCUGAGGGCUCCACCUUGGAACUGCCCUCAAAACCAGACUGGACAACUAGGAGAUGGGAGCAGUAACCAAUCACAUCUCUGAGGCCUCAAGCAAGGCACUGUAUAUAAACUGUUGAACAAAAAUGAUCGCUCCCUUCAGGAGAUACGGGUCACACAUCAACAUUUAAGUACAAAGGGUGACAAAUGGUGUACCAUAAUUGGAACAUAUGUUCCCUGAACUGACAGUACUCUGUCUCUACAGCACAGUCCCUAUGAAUUAAGAUACUUACAGUGAUGAGGAAUGGUAUGCUGGAAACAGUUUUGCUAUUUUCUUCAAAUUAGCUGAAGUCAUGCUAUGUCUCAAUAAAUUAUUUCUUUCAUCACAUA